CGGGGAGUAGCGCAGCCCGGCAGCGCACCUGCUUUGGGAGCAGGAGGCCGGGGGUUCAAAUCCCCCCUCCCCGACCA
rnacentral:tRNA from 1 species